rnacentral:rRNA from 1 species
GACGAGGCACUACGGUGCUGAAGCAACAAAUGCCCUGCUUCCAGGAAAAGCCUCUAAGCAUCAGGUAACAUCAAAUCGUACCCCAAACCGACACAGGUGGUCAGGUAGAGAAUACCAAGGCGCUUGAGAGAACUCGGGUGAAGGAACUAGGCAAAAUGGUGCCGUAACUUCGGGAGAAGGCACGCUGACAUGUAGGUGAAGUGAUUUACUCAUGGAGCUGAAGUCAGUCGAAGAUACCAGCUGGCUGCAACUGUUUAUUAAAAACACAGCACUGUGCAAACACGAAAGUGGACGUAUACGGUGUGACGCCUGCCCGGUGCCGGAAGGUUAAUUGAUGGGGUCAGCGCAAGCGAAGCUCCUGAUCGAAGCCCCGGUAAACGGCGGCCGUAACUAUAACGGUCCUAAGGUAGCGAAAUUCCUUGUCGGGUAAGUUCCGACCUGCACGAAUGGCGUAAUGAUGGCCAGGCUGUCUCCACCCGAGACUCAGUGAAAUUGAACUCGCUGUGAAGAUGCAGUGUACCCGCGGCAAGACGGAAAGACCCCGUGAACCUUUACUAUAGCUUGACACUGAACAUUGAGCCUUGAUGUGUAGGAUAGGUGGGAGGCUUUGAAGUGUGGACGCCAGUCUGCAUGGAGCCGACCUUGAAAUACCACCCUUUAAUGUUUGAUGUUCUAACGUGGACCCGUAAUCCGGGUUGCGGACAGUGUCUGGUGGGUAGUUUGACUGGGGCGGUCUCCUCCUAAAGAGUAACGGAGGAGCACGAAGGUUGGCUAAUCCUGGUCGGACAUCAGGAGGUUAGUGCAAUGGCAUAAGCCAGCUUGACUGCGAGCGUGACGGCGCGAGCAGGUGCGAAAGCAGGUCAUAGUGAUCCGGUGGUUCUGAAUGGAAGGGCCAUCGCUCAACGGAUAAAAGGUACUCCGGGGAUAACAGGCUGAUACCGCCCAAGAGUUCAUAUCGACGGCGGUGUUUGGCACCUCGAUGUCGGCUCAUCACAUCCUGGGGCUGAAGUAGGUCCCAAGGGUAUGGCUGUUCGCCAUUUAAAGUGGUACGCGAGCUGGGUUUAGAACGUCGUGAGACAGUUCGGUCCCUAUCUGCCGUGGGCGCUGGAGAACUGAGGGGGGCUGCUCCUAGUACGAGAGGACCGGAGUGGACGCAUCACUGGUGUUCGGGUUGUCAUGCCAAUGGCACUGCCCGGUAGCUAAAUGCGGAAGAGAUAAGUGCUGAAAGCAUCUAAGCACGAAACUUGCCCCGAGAUGAGUUCUCCCUGAGACUUUAAGUCUCCUGAAGGAACGUUGAAGACGACGACGUUGAUAGGCCGGGUGUGUAAGCGCAGCGAUGCGUUGAGCUAACCGGUACUAAUGAACCGUGAGGCUUAACCUU